rnacentral:lncRNA from 1 species
CUCUUUACAUGCUAUUUAUUUUCAGCUGAUCACAUCUUUUUAAUUUGAUUGCGAUUUAAAUCAAAUUUGUAUCCUGUAAUUUGAUCUGUCACUUUGUACACUUUUCCAGCAGUAGAAGCUGAAAUUGAGUCUAUGACCCCUUUCCUAAAAUAUCCUGUACUAAAAACUGCGGUGCCUUUAUUCAUCGCAGGAUUUGGCCUGUACAUCACAUGUUGUCCCUCUUCCGGAUAGUAGGCAAUGUCUUCCCUCAAACCAUCGGAAAACUGCUCUAGUGGAAAAGCUAACAGUGUUUCCCGGUGAAUUUGUCUAUAGAAAUCGGUGAGUCCUGUGUUAAAUACCGGUAGCUGUUUUUGAUUCACAUUCU